GUAUAGUAUUACAUAUAUAUUUACAAAAUAAUGGUUUAAUAUUACAAAAAAAGUUACAUAUAGUUUGAAAGAACAAAUGAAUAGAAAGAAAUGAAAACAACUUAUCAGUAACUAGUUAAUUAGUAAAGAUUAAUGUUAAGUGCAUGGUUAGUAUAGUUGCAUGUAUCUGUGUCUGUGGAUUUUAAAAACCUUCGAAACUCUUGAUGAAAGGUGUAAACACGCACGACUAGUAUGGCGGACUUAAAUAAAUGAUAAUGAACACAGGAAGAUGUAGAAUUACGUUAAACUGAACAAAGAUUUGAAGAGGGUAAUUAUAUUUGGAUACAACUCUGUUAUUAUGCCACUAUUUAUGGAAUCACAAAUAUCCUGUGACUAAGUGGCCGCAUGACGCGGAACAUGUUUAUAUACAUUGCUAUAACUGAGGAAGGAUUCUUCAAGUUCUUAAUUUGCAGUACAGCAAAUCUCUUAAUGUUUCAUUCUAAUCCUCAAUUUCUUUUACAUUACAUGUGCAUCAUUUAUAAGUUGUGUUUACACUGCCAGUCUUAGCUGAGCCAAGCUAUAAGAACACGCCAAGGUAAUAU